UCAGAUGGCUGGACGGCCGCUGGCCCUGGGAGCGAUCCCGGGGCUGGAGGAAAGUCCGGGCUCCACGGGAAUACGGUGCCGGCCAAUGGCCGGCGGGGGCGACCCCAGGGACAGUGCCACAGAGAGCAGACCGCCCAUCCGGCGCGAGCCCGAUGGGCAAGGGUGAAAGGGUGCGGCAAGAGCGCACCGCGCCCCCGGCGACGGGGGCGGCACGGUAAACCCCACCGGGAGCAAGGCCGAAUAGGGGGAGCCGGCGUGGUGCCGAAAGGCACGGACGCGGGGGCAUUCCCGCCCCGUUCCCCGGGUUGGCCGCGAGAAGCCUGCGGCAACGCAGGUUCCAGAGGAAUGGUCGUCCACAGCUUCGUGCUGUGACAGAACCCGGCUUACAGGCCAUCUGGCACC
rnacentral:RNase_P_RNA from 1 species